UAGAUAGAUAGAUAGAUAGAUAGAUAGAUAGAUAGAUAGAUAGAAGACAAAUGACAAGUCAAUGAGCAAAAUACAAAACUAGGGUGAAAAAAAGGGAAACAAGGUUACGCAUGAAAUCCCAAGUACAUUCUGUGACCUAGUUUUAAUUUCCUUUAUUUUCAAUCUUUAUUUCUCCCUUCAUUUCCUGAGCUGAUGGGAGGACAGAUGAUAAGCCACAUCAAUCUACGUUUCAGCUGGUAUCAGUGAUGCAAAACAGGAUUCUAGGCAACAGAAAAGAAAAAAAAUAUCUCAUUCAAAGUGCUUUUGAAAAUCCCCUGUACACUGUAAUGUUUAAAACAUGAGGGUUAAAACAUGCAUAUUAAUGAGUCACUGGUAACUGAAGUCUAAAAAGACAAUAAAAGGCAGUUUAAUUAGAUUAGAUUUUGAUUGGAAUUAUUCAUCAGGGGUAAUUGACAGUCCCUUUCGAGAGUCCACGUAAACUGUUGUAUUUAUUAAUCUGUGGAGCAAAUGCCAACUUUUAGAGCAAUUAUCUAUUAUGUGGCCCCGAGAAGGCCAUGUCGCUUUGGCCUGUUUUUUUUUUUUUUGUUUUGUUUUGUUUUGUUAUUUUUUAUUGAUUCAUUUAUUACAGCAAUUACAAUUACAGCAAAUGCAAUGUCUUGAUGCUUUAGACAUAAACCUAAGAUUCCCUGAGGAGUGAGGCUGUUUUUCAUCGUAUACAUAGUUUUAAAGUCAGACUAUGUAACCUUUGCUAAACUGUGGCCAUUGUGGUAAUUAUAAGAAAAUGUCAUUUGUCUUGAUUCCCUUGCAUUCUCUUGAGCCAGCUGCAGGGCUGCAAGACCUAAAAUGGAGAGUAACAGGAGCAUUUGUAGAGAGACACAGUCUCAGCAAAGGUAGAUACCUCAUGAAUGUCGCCUUGACAGCAUCUAUGUAAAGUUAAUGUUAAUUACUACAAGCCACAGGUUGACUCAUAGACUGUAAAUGAAGAUGGAUGUAGCCACCUUGAUGUCACCCACAGGUUUCUGAAGAGCGGUUCUGAAGCUCAGCUGCUGCAGUGUCUGACUCCACCAAAACUCCCAGCUAGUCCAAAAAUGGGCGAAGACGUGGAGCACAGACGGCGCGUGACGGUUUGUGGCAAGUAUACGCACUUAAAGCGGCCACGCCCUCAAUUAUGCAGAACUUUAACUCUUCAUAAACUUUGAGUAAACGGGUGAGUUAUAUAAAAAUUCACCUCCCAUACAGUUGUCAAGAAGGGGAACAUUAGCUAAAGAGACCAAAACUGUUUUUUAAACUCGAAUGUAAACAUGUUUAUUUCUGCUGUAAAAUUGAACAUUUUAACACGUGAGGCUGUAGGGAUUGACUCGCUUUUGGAGUCAGCCUCCAGUGGACAUUGGAGUGACUGCAGUUUUUAACACUUCUCUGUUGGCUUCGUUUUUCAGCUGCUUGACUAAACCUCGUGGAGCUGUGGCAGGAAAACUUCAGUCUUCAGUGUGAUGAAAUGAGAUAUAUUUAACUUUUCAUUUAUGUCACAGUCUAACAUUAACUGGUAUCAUGAAACUGAACAAUUACUAUAGAAGAGGAAACAAAUAUAUUUUUAUUUGCAUGAAAAUGUCACAAACGUUUGUCUUUUACAAAUAUUUGUCUUAUUUUUCUUUAUUUUAUUGUCAUCUUCUUUUUUUGGAGCAGCGGACAGGAUGCCCCAGAUAUUCAAGGCCUCCAGCGGACCGGUAGACGAGUUGAGAAAGAGACCCUCUUCCCCACACAGGCAUCCCUCAGUCACCAGGCGCCCUGCUGACCCUGUCUCUCUUCCCUCCUAACCCUGGGUCUCGUAACCAUCUCGCAGUGGAACCGCUCAUCCCUAUCAGUGCAGACCUGUUGGCAGGAACCCUGCAGUAUUUAUAUGAGAGAAAGGAGAGAUAGAGGAGGGGUGGAGGAAGGAAGGGAUACGGCGGGGGGGUGAAAAGAGAAAUAGAGGAAGAGCAGCAGAAAAAAGCCCAAGACAAAGUCACAACAACAACAAUUUAUAUGAAGGAGAGUGCUGCUUAUACAAGAAUGACGCAGAGCACUUUCAAGACAGGCAGACAGCAGCAAACCACCUGGGAGCAGCCUCUCUCCUGCAGACUGAGUGGAUCCCAGUCAAACGCUGACAGCCUCACGUGGAAGCGAGGAGACAGACCCUGAAAUGUUCUGCCACCUGUCACUCAAACUGACAACGUGAUGUGAAAAGAAUUAAAAGCAAAUAAAAAAUGA